AUUGAACGCUGGCGGAAUGCUUUACACAUGCAAGUCGAGCGGCAGCACGGGGGCAACCCUGGUGGCGAGCGGCGAACGGGUGAGUAAUACAUCGGAACAUGCCCAGUCGUGGGGGAUAACACUUCGAAAGAAGUGCUAAUACCGCAUACGUCCUGAGGGGGAAAGCGGGGGAUCGCAAGACCUCGCGCGAUUGGAGUGGCCGAUUUCAGAUUAGCUAGUUGGUGGGGUAAAGGCCUACCAAGGCAACGAUCUGUAGCUGGUCUGAGAGGAUGAUCAGCCACACUGGGACUGAGACACGGCCCAGACUCCUACGGGAGGCAGCAGUGGGGAAUUUUGGACAAUGGGGGCAACCCUGAUCCAGCCAUUCCGCGUGAGUGAAGAAGGCCUUCGGGUUGUAAAGCUCUUUCGGCAGGAACGAAACGGUGAGCUCUAACAUAGCUUGCUAAUGACGGUACCUGAAGAAGAAGCACCGGCUAACUACGUG
rnacentral:rRNA from 1 species